CCUACGGGUGGCAGCAGUGGGGAAUAUUGCACAAUGGGGGAAACCCUGAUGCAGCGACGCCGCGUGAGUGAAGAAGUAUUUCGGUACGUAAAGCUCUAUCUGCAGGGAAGAAAAUGACGGUACCUGACUAAGAAGCCCCGGCUAACUACGUGCCAGCAUCCGCGGUAAUACGUCGGGGGCAAGCGUGAUCCGGAUUUACUGGGUGUAAAGGGAGAGUAGACGGUAGCGCAAGUCUGGAGUGAAAUCCCAUGGCUUAACCAUGGAACUGCCUUGGAAACUGUGCAGCGAGAGAGCAGGAGAGGUAAGCGGAAUUCCUAGUGUAGCGGUGAAAUGCGUAGAUAUGAGGAGGAACACCAGUGGCGAAGGCGGCUUACUGGACUGUAACUGACGUUGAGGCUCGAAAGCGUGGGGAGCAAACAGGAUUAGAUACCCUGGUAGUC
rnacentral:rRNA from 1 species